rnacentral:rRNA from 1 species
GAUGAACGCUGGCGGCGUGCCUAAUACAUGCAAGUCGAGCGAACGGACGAGAAGCUUGCUUCUCUGAUGUUAGCGGCGGACGGGUGAGUAACACGUGGAUAACCUACCUAUAAGACUGGGAUAACUUCGGGAAACCGGAGCUAAUACCGUAUAAUAUUUUGAACCGCAUGGUUCAAAAGUGAAAGACGGUCUUGCUGUCACUUAUAGAUGGAUCCGCGCUGCAUUAGCUAGUUGGUAAGGUAACGGCUUACCAAGGCAACGAUGCAUAGCCGACCUGAGAGGGUGAUCGGCCACACUGGAACUGAGCAACGGUCAAGACUCCUAGGGGGGGAGGCAGUAGGGAAUCUUCGGCAAUGGGCGAAAGCCUGCCGGAGAAACGCGGCGUGAGGGAUGAAGGUCUUCGGAUCGAAAAACUCUGUUAUUAGGGAAGAACAUAUGUGUAAGUAACUGUGCACAUCUUGACGGUACCUAAUCAGAAAGCCACGGCUAACUACGUG